AUUCCAGCUCCAAUAGCGUAUAUUAAAGUUGUUGCAGUUAAAAAGCUCGUAGUUGGAUUUCUGGUGGGAGUGAUCGGUCUGCCCCGUUAGGGGUGUGUACUAGUGUCGUCUCUUGCCAUCCUUGGGGAGAGCGUGCCUGGCAUUAGGUUGUCGGGCAUGGGAUCCCCAUCCUUUACUGUGAAAAAAUUAGAGUGUUUAAAGCAGGCUUAGGCCGUUGAAUACAUUAGCAUGGAAUAAUACGAUAGGACUCUGGCUUAUCUUGUUGGUCUGUGAGACCAGAGUAAUGAUUAAGAGGGACAGUCGGGGACAUUCGUAUUUCAUUGUCAGAGGUGAAAUUCUUGGAUUUAUAAAAGACGAACUUCUGCGAAAGCAUUUGUCAAGGAUGUUUUCAUUG
rnacentral:rRNA from 1 species